CUUAGAGGUUAAACCCGAUGAACCUGAAUAUCCAUUAUGGAAAAUUCAAUACUAAUUUAACAAUAUAUAUCAUAUUGUGAAAAUGGUGUGCAAUUUUUCCAUAUAAGGACAUUGUAAUCUGUUAAUGAAAUAAAUAUUUAUCAAAAGAUUCUUUACUUAAGUUUAUUUAAAUUGUUUAUUUUCGGAUAUUCAACAUAAAAUAAAUGUAUUGAAUUGGAUAAAUCAUUGACAGAUAUAAUUAUAUAAUGUGCUCAAAUUCUACGGAAUUUUGCAAUAUUAAAUAAAUCUAUUGAUUUGUUUAUUUAUUUGUUUGCACUAUUAUGAUUAACAAUGCGAUAGAUUCAGGAUACCUUCGGGACCCGUCUUGAAACACGGACCAAGGAGUCUAACAUAUGUGCAAGUCAUUGGGUAUUUUUAAUAAAACCCAAUGGCAUAAUUAACUUAACUUAUAUUAAUGGGAUUAAUUUAUAAUUUAUUAUGAAUUAUUUAUUCAAUCCCGGGGCGUUCUAUACAGUUAUGUAUAAUAAUAUUUAUAUUAUUUAUACCUCUAACUAGAGCGUACCUUGAGCAUAUAUGCUGUGACCCGAAAGUG
rnacentral:rRNA from 1 species